rnacentral:rRNA from 1 species
UUCUGGUUGAUCCUNGGGGGAGCCCUUUUAGCUUUUGGGAUUCGAUUAAGCCAUGCNAGUCGAACGGGUUUAUACUCGUGGCGUACGGCUCAGUAACACGUGGAUAACCUACCCCUAGGACUGGGAUAACCCUGGGAAACUGGGGAUAUUACUGGAUAGGCAAUUAUUCCUGUAAUGGUUUUUUGUUUAAAUGUUUUUUCGCCUAAGGAUGGGUCUGCGGCCGAUUAGGUAGUUGGUUAGGUAAUGGGCUUACCAAGCCUUUUAUCGGUACGGGUUGUGAGAGCAAGAGCCCGGAGAUGGAACCUGAGACAAGUUUCCAGGCCCUACGGGGUGCAGCAGGCGCGAAACCUCCGCAAUGUGAGAAAUCGCGACGGGGGGAUCCCAAGUGCCAUUCUUAACGGGAUGGCUUUUCAUUAGUGUAAAGAGCUUUUGGAAUAAGAGCUGGGCAAGACCGGUGCCAGCCGCCGCGGUAACACCGGCAGCUCUAGUGGUAGCAGUUUUUAUUGGGCCUAACGCGUCCGUAGCCGGUUUAAUAAGUCUCUGGUGAAAUCCCGCGGCUUAACUGUGGUAAUUGCUGGAGAUACUAUUAGACUUGAGAUCGGGAGAGGUUAGAGGUACUCCCAGGGUAGAGGUGAAAUUCUGUAAUCCUGGGAGGACCGCCUGUUGCGAAGGCGUCUGACUGGAACGAUUCUGACGGUGAAGGGACGAAAGCUAGGGUCGCGAACCGGAUUAGAUACCCGGGUAGUCCUAGCUGUAAACGAUGCGGACUUGGUGUUGGGGUGGCUUUGGAGCUGUCCCAGUGCCGAAGGGAAGCUGUUAAGUCCUUCGCCUGGGAUGUACGGUCGCAAGACUGAAACUUAAAGGAAUUGGCCGGGGAGCACCACAACGCGUGGAGCCUGCGGUUUAAUUGGAUUUAACGCCGGACAUCUCAUCCAGAGGCUACAGCUGUAUGAUAGCCAGGUUGAUGAGGUUAUGCUUGACUAGUUUAGAGGAAGGUGCAUGGCCGCCGUCAGCUCGUACC